UCAAAAACUUGAACAGACUUGUCUGCUUGUUCUGUUUGGAACUCAUUGCAAUAAUGAGAGGUACUAGGGCAGUGCUUCUGUCUUGAGCAGUCCAACGAUAGGACUCAAGGAAAGUGGAAAAACUUGCAGUUCUUCCCGCUCUUUCGCCUCUUGCCGGUUUUACCCCUGCAAGAAAAUAAGAAGUUUUUUUCUUAGAGGGCUGCAGGUCCUCAACUCCUGCCUGUAGCUUCCAGCAGCAUCUGUUGGGCCACUGUGCGAAACAGGAUGUUGGAAUAGAUUGGCCUUGAGCCUGAUCCAGCUGGGCAGUUCUUAUGUUUCUAUGACAUGCAUUAAGGUGGGAGGGCAAAAAAGGGGAGUUGCAGGGUGGGGAGUUUACUGAAAGAGAAGUGGUUCACGAGAUGAUGAAAGAGAAGACCCCCUCACAAUUAACACUCCCUCUGAACAAUUUUUUUUUUAAUAGUCUGUUAUUCAGCUGAUAUAGGACCAGUUGAGACAGUUCAACAAUCCAUGGUCUGCUUGGUUGUGAGAAAGCAACAUGAAUGAGUUUGGAAGCCUGAACACUCAUUUCUCCUACCUCAUGCACCUCGGAAUUCUUGUUCAUUUAACCAUGACUUGGGGAACAAUAAUUAUGGACUAGAAACCAAAAUAUGAAACUAGGAUUUAUUUUCAGUUCCAUAUGCUUGUUUGUAAUCCAUAGAUAAACAGCUCCCAGCUAUGGAAAACACACACAGCUGUGGUUUCAUGAAAGAGUAUUGUUGUGAUGCAGCUGGAGCUUGGGAGUAAAGGGGAGAAUAGAAGUGUGCUUGAAUGGGGCCGUCAGGCAGCCUUGAGCAAACUCCACUUCUCGGCCAGCCACUGCAAGGGCAGACCCGCUCCCCACCCCUCCCUUAAGGCUCGGCUCGGGCACCACCAUGCAAAGAGUAGCCAAGUCACUAAUAGUACCUUCAAGCGAUCAUAGACUGCGCCAGCAACCGCCGCCAGCUAUCCUCCACGAAUCUGUAUUAUUUUGUGUUCUACCGAUGCUGCAAAAAAUCCAAAAACCAAGAAAAUUAAGUCUUUAUUUCAAUUAACAUUUCUUGGCAUAGGCAGAUAUUAAAACAACACUGGAACGAACAAGACUAUUAACAGCGAUUGACAGCAGCAAGGUGUGUGAGGAUGUUUUGGACUAUAUCCACACAAAGAGAAGCUCAAGCUCACAGGCCCAGGAAGAAGGAUGUGUAUACAGAUUAUGUGAAGAAUAGCACUAAUAUACAAUAAGGAAUGAAGGAGGUGCCAAAGAGCUAACAAAAGCUCCAGAACUGCAGGAACUCACCAUGCCUUCCUGGCUGUGUGUUGAGGAAGUGGAGACAGGUUCCAUACACUGGGCAACCAGAUACAAAGGAGGAGAGGAUUCCUGAAUGUUAGAUGGUUGUGCAAAACAGGUGGUGUUUAACAAGAACAGCUUGCUGUGCAGACCACAGGGAGAGAACCCCGCUCCCCUUAUGAUGACUGAAGAUACAUAUACUUUACAUGAUCUGUCCUUAUUACCACUGACAUAAGUGUAUGUGAAAGUAGCUGAAGGUAUAUAUUGAUUGUGUUGUCUCCAUAGAUUCAGCAUCU